UCCACGCCGUAAACGAUGUCUACUAGAAGCUCGGGUCCUCGGACUUGUUUUUCAAAGCUAACGCAUUAAGUAGACCGCCUGGGGAGUACGGCCGCAAGGUUAAAACUCAAAUGAAUUGACGGGGGCCCGCACAAGCGGUGGAGCAUGUGGUUUAAUUCGAUGCAACGCGAAGAACCUUACCUACACUUGACAUACAGAGAACUUACCAGAGAUGGUUUGGUGCCUUCGGGAACUCUGAUACAGGUGCUGCAUGGCUGUCGUCAGCUCGUGUUGUGAGAUGUUGGGUUAAGUCCCGCAACGAGCGCAACCCCUAUCCUUAGUUGCUAGCAGGUAAUGCUGAGAACUCUAAGGAGACUGCCGGUGAUAAACCGGA
rnacentral:rRNA from 1 species